GACGAACGCUGGCGGCGUGCCUAAUACAUGCAAGUCGAGCGAAUCAACAGGAGCUUGCUCCUGUUGGUUAGCGGCGGACGGGUGAGUAACACGUGGGCAACCUGCCUGUAAGACUGGGAUAACACCGGGAAACCGGUGCUAAUACCGGAUAAUCCUCUUCCUCUCAUGAGGAAAAGCUGAAAGUCGGUUUCGGCUGACACUUACAGAUGGGCCCGCGGCGCAUUAGCUAGUUGGUGAGGUAACGGCUCACCAAGGCGACGAUGCGUAGCCGACCUGAGAGGGUGAUCGGCCACACUGGGACUGAGACACGGCCCAGACUCCUACGGGAGGCAGCAGUAGGGAAUCUUCCACAAUGGACGAAAGUCUGAUGGAGCAACGCCGCGUGGGCGAUGAAGGCCUUCGGGUCGUAAAGCUCUGUUGUUAGGGAAGAACAAGUACCGGAGUAACUGCCGGUACCUUGACGGUACCUAACCAGAAAGCCACGGCUAACUACGUGCCAGCCGCCGCAGUAAUAC
rnacentral:rRNA from 1 species